rnacentral:rRNA from 1 species
CACUCCUGCGGGAGGCAGCAGUGGGGAAUAUUGCACAAUGGGCGCAAGCCUGAUGCAGCGACGCCGCGUGGGGGAUGAAGGCCUUCGGGUUGUAAACUCCUUUCGCUAGGGACGAAGCUUUUUUGUGACGGUACCUAGAUAAGAAGCACCGGCUAACUACGUGCCAGCAGGCGCGGUAAUACGUAGGGUGCGAGCGUUGUCCGGAAUUACUGGGCGUAAAGGGCUCGUAGGUGGUUUGUCGCGUCGUCUGUGAAAUUCUGGGGCUUAACUCCGGGCGUGCAGGCGAUACGGGCAUAACUUGAGUGCUGUAGGGGUAACUGGAAUUCCUGGUGUAGCGGUGAAAUGCGCAGAUAUCAGGAGGAACACCGAUGGCGAAGGCAGGUUACUGGGCAGUUACUGACGCUGAGGAGCGAAAGCAUGGGUAGCGAACAGGAUUAGAUACCCUUGUAGUCCCA